rnacentral:rRNA from 1 species
GAUGAACGCUGGCGGCGUGCCUAACACAUGCAAGUCGAACGGAGAUUCCGGACGGAAGUUUUCGGAUGGAAGCCUGUAAUUCUUAGUGGCGGACGGGUGAGUAACGCGUGGGCAACCUGCCCUAUACAGGGGGAUAGCAGCUGGAAACGGCUGGUAAGACCGCAUAAGUCGGUUAAAUCGCAUGAUUUGAUCGGGAAAUGAGCAAUCAGGUAUAGGAUGGGCCCGCGUCCGAUUAGCCAGUUGGCAGGGUAAAAGCCUACCAAAGCGACGAUCGGUAGUCGGACUGAGAGGUCGGACGGCCACAUUGGGACUGAGACACGGCCCAAACUCCUACGGGAGGCAGCAGUGGGGGAUAUUGCACAAUGGAGGAAACUCUGAUGCAGCGACGCCGCGUGAGUGAAGAAGUAUUUCGGUAUGUAAAGCUCUAUCAGCAGGGAAGAUGAUGACGGUACCUGACGAAGAAGCCCCGGCUAACUACGUG